GUGGGGAAUAUUGGGCAAUGGGGGCAACCCUGACCCAGCGACGCCGCGUGGGUGAAGAAAUCCCUCGGGAUGUAAAGCCCUGUUGUAUGGGAAGAGCGGAAGACGGUACCAUACGAGGAAGCCCCGGCAAACUACGUGCCAGCAGCCGCGGUAAUACGUAGGGGGCAAGCGUUGUCCGGAAUUACUGGGCGUAAAGCGCACGCAGGCUGAAUUAUAAGUCGGUAGUAAAAGGCGGGGGCUCAACUUCCGUAUAUCUAUCGAUACUGUAAAUCUAGAGUAUGUGAGAGGGAAGCGGAAUUCGCGGUGUAGCGGUGAAAUGCGUAGAUAUCGGGAGGAACACAAGUGGCGAAGGCGGCUUCCUGGCACAAUACUGACGCUCAUGUGCGAAAGCUCGGGCAGCGAACGGGAUUAGAAACCCGUGUAGUCC
rnacentral:rRNA from 1 species